rnacentral:rRNA from 1 species
CGCAUAAUGAAUGUACGUAAAUUCUUUGGGACAAAUCAACUAAAUUUUUGUUUGAAUUCGAACAAUGUUAAAUAUAAAAAAUCCAGAGAAAGAAAGUAAAGCGCAGAAUGAAUGUACGUAAUUCUUUGGGACAAAUCAACGAAAUUUUUGUUUGAAUUCGACCAGUGUUAAAUAUAAAAAAUCCAGAAGGAAAGGAAAUAUAGUGUUGUAUGAAUGUACAUAACUUUUUUGGGAAAAUCAACGAUGUUUUUUUCAAUUCAAAUAAUGUUAAAUAUAAAUAUCAAGAUUAAAGAAAAUAUAGUGUAGAAUGAGUAAAUUCUUUGGGACAAAUCAACGAAAUUUUUGUUUGAAUUCAAAUAAUUUUAAAUCUUAAAAUAUAGAUAACAGCAAAUAUAGUGUAGUAUGAAUGCAUGUAAUUUUUUGGACAAAUGAACUAAUUUUUUGUUUGAAUUCAAAUAUUUUUAGUCCAAAAAUCUAGAAAAAAAAUAUAAUUCAGAAUGAAUGUAUGUAAAUUACAUUUAAACCACCAGCCCCUCCUUUUUUCAUUUUAUUUGAGGGACUCUGUGUGCGUCAAUAAAAAAAUGCAAGGCUGUUUUCUGAAUAAAAAAUCUGGCACGCCAGGGAAGCGCGAGAUACGGCUGGAUAUGGGAGGAAGCAUCGUAUUUGAAUUAUCGGACAAGUUCGCUGACAAAAACACGUAUUUUAUAAGUUUAUAUACCAAACUGACCGUUACAUACAAGUUCUAUGACCCAUGAUGUAUUUACCUCUUGAAGAAAGUCCUAUGCUUCAUUAGAAAGGAAAAACAGGUCACUUAUGCUGCAUAACCCACAGUUUCAGGACAUCAGCACCCACUCGACAAACAGCUGCGGACGUUCUACUCGCAAAGAUUCAGCAAUAUUAACAGAAAAGACACAUCUGUGCUGACACGAUUUAAGAUACCAGCGCGAUGAAAUUAUGAGACGAGGCAAACUCUGGUCGGAAAUCUGUAAACAACCCAAACUGCAGCGACAUCUACUGCACAAAGCUUGACUGUACUAAAAUGAACCUCUACACACGAGGUGAUGAAGGGCGCAGCUUUGUCUCUAGAGGUUGUUCACCUGACCGUAGGAUAGCCUUCGCCUGUUGAGGCUUUCAGCGGUUGAAGCUUCAGUUUUGUAGGACCUGUAUUCCUACUCCGAAAAUGAACCACCAUAUCUGCAUCUCUGACUUUCUUAUGGGCGCAAAUCAGAUUGUGAGAACGACAACCACAAGUCUGAAAACCAGUAAUGUACUCUCUCCAUAAGGAAAUAUAAGAGCGUUUAGAUCACUACUAAGGAGGGAGUAUUUCCCAUCACACCCUAAACUUGCUUUGACAGAUUAUUACAAUUCCUCUACUAACCUAGUACACAUCAUUAACUCAUCUAGUAAUAAUGUACGUAUGUCCCUGCCCCUGAAUCACUGCUAUGAUUACCACGCCCAUCCAAGUUCAGUAUCAGGAUCAGUCAUGCAAACCAUACCUGCUAGUUUACUGAAACUGGAGUUAUCAUGGAACUCUGAACCAUCCCCACUUGCUUGCAUACUGCAGGUCAGGCUUCCAUUACCUACAGACUCUAAUUUAACCCAGAUUAUGAAUUGCAGAUAGUGGUGUUCCUAUUUAAGGCUUCUACAGAAUGAAAAUGGAUGUCUCGUUGCAUCCUUGUAAUGUGCAAAUUAAUGUGAAAGCAAAUUUAAUUAGUAAAAUAUCAUAAUCAGAAGUGCUUUAUUAAGCAUUCUACUGAGAUAUGGCUGCCUUAGGUAUGCUUCUGGCUUCUUUAAUUUGGACAAGCUGGCCAUAUUUGCUUGACUACCAUGACCUACGUAAUUAAAACACUGACCUUGUACAGCUAGGAAUCAGUAAGUUCCUGGAGGACAGUCUGACCGACUACAAAUUACACUUGACCAGAUUUUUCAUAGCAAAGGAUGCAUUCCAGAACUUGCCACCACAUUGUGUGACGAUUCGUGAUUCGACUAGACAGCCUGUGCAACUUCUACUCACUUUAUUCACUGCUACUCAAUGUAAAAUAUUAGGAGACCAUGACAGUUCUAAUGCAAAGGAUACAGAGGAGCUAACUGCAGUCCCCUCCACAUUUUCUCAUCCGGGCUUGGGACCGGCAAAGGCAGUGUUAAACUACUCCUACUUAAACACAGAAUACAGCUAACCAUACAAGCCACGCAAUCAACCGAAGGCAGCAUUGGCACGACACACGAUUGGCAAUAAAUAUUCACACAACGUUUUCACAACAUCAUAAAACUGACAUGCGGCGCAAACAAAGAAUGCCAUAAAUUCCAAAACCUGAAUGGCAGUAACUAAUUUAUCUAGUGGGAUGAGCGAGAUUCAAAUCUUUGCAUUGAGAAAGCUUUCGUAGUUUAUACAGACAGGGUCAGAGGACCCAUAAGAUGUGUGAACAGAUACUUACGUGUCUUUGAAACCUAUAUAGGAUUUAUUAUGUAGUAUGAAACAGAAUGGGUUUGUCUCGACAGGAAUCAUCAAAUUAGUACUUUUGCUAGUUGCCAAUUAAAGAGAAUAUGUGGUUCAAGAUUCAGAAUCCAGAUCAAAUUAGCAGUUCACCAGAAAAGAAGGUCAAUUAGCCAUUAGAGGACUGUCAGAUGUGUGAACGCCAUGAAAUUAUAGAUUUACGUAAUUGAAGAUUCCAUAAUCCAUAUCAAAUUAGCAGUUCGGCCGAAAAGAAGGUCAAAUUAGCCAUUAGAGGACUGUCAGAUGUGUAAACGCUAUGAAAUUAUAUAUUUAAUAAGAAUAUAUGUAAUGGAAGAUUCCAUAAUCCAGAUCAAAUUAGCAGCUUGCUGUAAAGAGAUCAAAUGAGCCAUUGGAAGACCGUAGAGAUGUGUGAGCGCUUUGUGUCUUUAAAUCCAGGAUGAAUGAAGUAGGAAACAAACUGCCGUAUGUUGAAAGUAAUCAGCGGGAUUCAUCAUCAAAUUUGCCAGAGUGUUUAAGAAUCAUCAAAUUAGCCAGACUGUUUUGCUAUUUGUCAAUUUAACGUAGGACGUUCCCCAGCAAACCGAGAAGAUGCAUUGAAGAUUUCCAGAUCUCACAGGAGAAGCACCAAUGAGAAUAACAUCACUUCUGAAAAUCAACUCCAUACCAACGAGUGUUCAGGGCAAAAUAUUUGUUCAGAACCUUCAACUCUCCAUUGUUUUAUACUCCUAACAUAUUUAAUAGCCAAAUAUCAAGUCAUCAAUAUUACCAAACUACAGGAGGCCACUACUGUUAAACCAACACAAAUGCGAGGGUGGGAUCUUUCAGUUAUAAAUUAUGUGCAAACUAAAGAAUGCAUGGACAAGAGUAUGUAGAAUAGUAGACCGACAAAUCCAAGUAUAACCAAUUCAUAUAUUCAUAUAAUAUGCUUAACAUUUUUACUGCAUUUAGAGCUCAUGUACAUGCGAUCUUUACUUCCUAUUAGGUGAUAAAUUUGCAAGUUGAAAGAUACAAGCAGCCAAAUAUCAAAACCAAACUUCCUGAAACAGUAUGGUAACCCGGUAAUUAAUAGCCAAAUCAAACUUUGAUAAUCUGCUACACAAACUGAGUACGAACUGAUAUUUCCAUUCUGGACCCUUGUUUGAGACUUCUAGCAUUUUCUUGAUUCGAGCAAAAGAUGAGAUCAUAUUCCAUCCAAACCACAUGCAAGUUGAAGAAGAUACCGUAACCAGUAAGGUGGCACAGCAGAAACGAAGUAAGAUGAUUCAGGACAGUUGAAAGAAUCAGAUGUGCACACUACCAGCUCCAAGCUGCACCAAAGAUAUGAGGCCACUGAAUGCAAGUUCAAACUGAAAACUACCACAAAAACCAUCAUGCUUCAGGAUCACUAAUCAGAAGUCAAAACCAUCAAGGGAGUCCAUUUGCUUCACCAAGUCCCCGCGCUAACUGACUAUCCAACUCUACAAUCUUGCAAUAAAACCUCCAACAAUGCAAAUCAAUGAACGGCCCAAAUAUAAUCAGCAUACUUAAAGUUUCUUCAAGGAAAGUCAGACCAUAGUGAAAUCUGGUAAAUCAGUUGAAACAGGCAUGAAGUCCAGGUGCAAGUUUUUGUGGUUGAAGAAGAUUCCGAACGAAGAUCCCAAACAGCCAUCAGACGAACAUAAAUCGAAGAAUGUAUAGCCACUCAAAUCUGACGUCACCAAGCACAGAUGAGGAAUCCAGUAAACCAAUGUGACGAAACAUGGGAAACUGACCUGCCUCGAGUCCCCUUCACCAUACGUUCACAACCCACAUGGAGCUUUACUUCCCGACCAGAUCAAGAUCCAGUCCUGCAAGCCAAAUUGUAGAGGCGGCGAUAACAAAUGAAACAAACAGACCGUCUACGAGACACUGACCUGACUCCAUGUACAGAGCAAAGGUUUGGGCCCAAACUCCUAAUAACAAUUAUAUAUUGCCAACCCACACACGCAGAAUACCAAUAAAACACAGGGAUCAAGAGUUUAGUCAUUGCCCACAUGGCCUGGGCUAAAGAAAAAUCUGCAACCAUAGGAAGGGCAGGGGCAAAAACCUAUAUCAGAGAGAUGGCCAAGUAACUAAAUGAAAUUAAAAAAAGGAAGGUAAGAGUCUUUUUCGGUUGUAGGAUGUGCCAUUAGUUGAAAGCUCUGGAUCAUCCUAUAUAUUCGUGCUGCAUAUGAAUCUGUAUUUAAAAUAUUGUCUAGUAAGAUAAUUUAUAGGUUAUGUAAGUUGCAAUGAAUUGAAACGACACUGUGGAUUUCGAAGAUCAGUAGACGGAUUCAUCAUCAGGCUGGACAGGAGUUUGUCAACUACAACCUGCAGCGAGCAAGAGACCGUUUCUAUAAAGAAAUGUUAGGGGAAAUGCUGCUUAUAAAUAGCUAAAGCAUGGAUGAAACGAUGAGUGGGAACAAGUAAAGCCUGUCUAGAGUCAGGUAUGGAUGAUGGAGGACAACAACGCCGGUUCCAAACUGCAGUUAUAUCAUUUCCAAGUCAGUAUCUGCAAGAGCUGAUAAGUACUAAGGCAAUGAAAACCUAAUGUCUAGAGAGUUCAAUUAUAGAGUAAAAAAGGUUGAAAAAGUUUUAGCCACAGAAGGAACUGCCAUGCCGAGGCAAAAUAGGACCGCCUUCUAAUCCAUAUUAUUCCAAUUUCUGGAGCCACCAAGAAAUAGUUUAAAUCAGAAUUGUGGGAAACCAAAACAGAACAGUGGAGACGAAAAGAGUAAAACAGAGGGAGUGAUAAUUAUCCAAACGUAGAGCAGCAAGAUGCGUCGCUCCCGCUAAGCCAUAUAAUUCCAAUUUCUGGAGAACCACCAACAUAUCCAAAUAUAUCCUGCACAUAGGCCCAGACUCCCUAAAUAUAUCCUGCAACUGAUACGCGCAGAAGACCAGCACGGGGAUCAAGAGUACAAAAAACAAAUCGAUCCAGAGAGAGAUAGAGAGAGAUCGCAAACCAAACGAUUUUAACAGAUUCCGACUCACUACCAGCAUGGUUUGGGCUUAAUCUGCAACCAAAGGGAGGGUAGAAGGAAAAACCUAAAUUAAAGGCAUAAACAAGUAGCUACGUGAAACAAAAAAUAAGAGGUGGGUUAAAUAUAGUCUUUUCAUUGUAGGAUGUUCCAUUAGUUUGAAUCUCCAUUGUUGAACCUUUGCAGAUCUGUAUUCAAAAUAUUUCCUGGUAAGAUAAUUUUAAAGGUUGUCUAAGUUAUGAUGACUUGAGAAAAUAGUAGAUUUAGAAGAACUGCAAACAGAUUCAACUCAGCACCAGGUUGGACUUGAGUUCAUCAACUACGACCUGCGACGAGGAAGAUACCUUUCUAUAAGUUAACAGGAAAACUAGGCUCAGCUAAAGCAUGCAUCAAAUGUUAAGGUUAAGAGGUAAAGUGUAAGUAAGCCUGUCUCGGCCGCGAAGGUCAGAUAGACAACACUGGUUCCAAUUAUUUCGCUUCCAGGCCAGCAUCUGCAGGAGCUAAGAAUUACCAACUAAGGCAAAGAAAGUAAUCUCUAGGAAGUUCAAUAAUCAAGGGAGGACAAAAGGUCAGAUAUGUUUGGGCCACAGAAAGAACCGCCAUGCUGAGGAAACAUAGGUUCACCCGCUAAGCCAUAUAUGUCCAAUUUCUGGAGAACCAGCAACAAAUCUAAAUCAGAAUUGUCGGAUAACUAAUUGAGCUGUGGAGAAGAAAUUAAGCAGAGAGUAAUGAUCAUCCAAACGCAGGUCAGCAAGAAGAUAGGUCACUCCCGCUAAGCCAUAUAAUCCCAAUUUCUGGACAACCAGCAACAGAUCCAAAUCAGAAUUGUCAGGGACUAAAAUUGAAUUGUGGAGAAGCAAUUAAAUAGAGGGGUUCAGAAUCAUCCAAACACAGAUCAACAAGAAGAUAGGUUGCUCCUGCUAAACCUUAUUAAGCCCAAUUUCUGGAAAACCACAAACAAAUACAGAUCAGAACUGCCAAGGACUAAUUGUACUGUGCAAACCAAAUAAAUUGAAUCUGGACAGAAUUCAUUAACCAAACGCAGAUCGCAAGUUCCAGGUUCCAAUCCAAUCAAUCAAAAUGAUGAACAGAAACCAAAUCUCCACCAAUUAACCCCAUCUCUGGAAAACCACAAACGAAUACAGAUCAGAACUGCCAAGGACUAAAUUGUAUUUUGCAAACCAAAUAAAUUGAACCGGGGCGGAAUUUAUUAUCCAAACGCAGAUCCGAAGUUCAGGUUGGUAAGAGAUCCAAAGCUUCAUAAUCCAAUCAAUCAAAAUGAUGAACAGAGACCAAAUCUCCACCCUAUGAUUCAUCUGUGCAGAACUACUACCCUCCUGCUGCAAGCAAAGGAGCACAAACACACACCAAACGAUCAGCUGCUACAACCACAUGACCGCACGAUUCAAAUCUGACCUGCCUCAAUCCCCUUCGACAUACAACACCACAGGGAUCUCCACAUUCCAGAUCCAGUCCUGCAACCAAUGUGUGGAGGGAGGCAAACAAAUAAACCAAACAAACCGUUGAUACAACACUGACCUGACUCAUUGUACAGAGAUUUGCCCAUAGGCCCAAACUUCCUACAGGAUAAGAGUACAGAGAACAAAUCGACCCAUAUAGAGAUAGAUUGCAAACCAAAUGAUUUUAAUAGAUUUCGACUCGCUACCAGCACGCUCUGGGCUAAAAUAAAUCUGCAAUCACAGGGGGGGAGAAGCAAAAAAGCCUAAAUCAAAGGCAUGAACAAGUAGCUACGUGAUAUAAAAAUAAGAGGCAAAGUUAAAAUGGAGGAGUCUCUUUUUUAUUGUAGGAUUUGCCAAGUUUGAAGCUCCAUUCUUGCACCUUCCCAGAUAAAUCUGAAUUUAAAAUAUUGCCUAGUGAGAAGAUCUUAAAGAUUAUCUAAGUAAUGAUUGGACUUUGCAUUCCUCAAACCUGCAACGAGCAAGAUACUUUUAAAAGUUAUAAGAAAAGUCUUGUCUGGGAAGGUCAGGUAGACAGCACCGGUUCCAAUUAUAUCCCUUCCAAGACGAUGUCUGCAAGAGCUAAGAAUUGACAAACUAAGGCAGAGGAAACUUGUCUGGUGUUUUCUAAUAAUAAUCUUGAGUAAGAAAUACUGUUGAGCCACAGAAAAGGAACCGCCAUGCCGAGGGAAAAGAGGACCACUCGCUAAGCUGUAUAAUUCCAAUUUUCUGGAGUACGAGCAACAAAUCCAAAUCAGAAUUGUGUGCAGACUAAUUGAACUGUGGAGGAAAGGAAAUAAACAGAGAGAGAAUGAUCAUCCAGACACAGGUGAGGAAGAAUGACAAGUCGCUCCCGGUAAGCCGUAUAAUCCCAAUUUCUGGACAACCAUCAACAAAUCUAAAUCAGAACCGACUAAGAUUGAACCGUGUAGAUGAAGGAAUUAAAUGGAGGGGGUAAUUAAUCAUCCAAACGCAGAUGUUGCUCCCGGCUCCCGCUUUGCCGUGUAAUCCAAUUUAUAAUUUCUGGAGAAGCAACGAAUUCAGAUCAGAAUUGCCGUUGACUAGUAUAUAUGCAGACCAAGAAACUAAAAUUUUGAGGGAUUUAGUAUUUAUAAAUGCAAACGCAGAUGGCAGGUUCAGGUUGGUAAGAGAAAUCCUAAGCUUCAUCACCCGAGAAGAGCUGACCACAUCAUCAGAAAAAAUAACCGCUGAACCGGAACCAACGAAUCAAUGAAAACAACCAUGAGCAGGAAUCAAACCUCCACCAAAUCCAUGAGGGCCUCGAAUUAAUCCACCUCGUACUAACGAAUGAUUUGGCGGAAUAAUGGACCAGAAGACGACACGGGCCAUAUCCAUUUGAUUUGAAAUCUGGAAUCUAUCACGGACGAACGCAGGUGACGUAAUCAAGGAACCGAUAGGAACGAGCACGGGAAACUGACCUUGCGUCGGCCUUCGGCUCCGCAAUCAGAGCUCCAAUUCCAAAAACAGGGCACGACGAUCCUGCAACCAACGCGCGCGGAUCCAGGAACACAGGAUCCACGCCUGCAAACAGAAGUGGACACACAGAAAAGAGUUCCUGAGACAGAUUCGCAAACCAGAUAGAUGAAUGGAUCCUCGAUCGAUCGCUUCCCGGGCUCGCACGGAGGCAGAGGAGACGGGCCGGAUUCGAAUACCCUGCGAGCACAGCAAGGCAACGGUGACGGCGACGGCGAGGGCGACGGCGAGGGCGAGUGAAAUCAAAUCAGACGCGAUUGGAAAGGAAUCGAGACGAGGGCAAGAAGGGGGAAGGAAACAGUCGCUCAAACGCGAGGAGGCGCGGCCCGUCACCAACGAGAAAGGUCGGACGAGAGACGGGGCCGGAGCGCGGGGAGGAGAGGGUGCGCCUGGGCGCCUUUUAUAGCCGCCGCGGAGGCGGUGGGGGAGGCCUGGC